rnacentral:lncRNA from 1 species
UGGAGAAGAGAUGAGGAUAAGGCUGGAUGGAUGCGGUGUGCAGGGCCACGAGGACACAUGUUGAACGAAGGAGGAGGUUUACGAGAGACAGAGAUCAGUCGAUUGAUUCUAAUCGUUUUCCAAAAUUUAGCGUCUUUAAAAUGGUUUUGCAUAUGGAGAGCAAAGAUUUUCAGGCGCAUGAAAAUUUUCUACUUUUCAAGAUAUCCUACAUCCCGCCGCCUCAACCUCGCUCAAAUGCCCAAAGGGACGGACCGGUCAAAGAAAACGGACCCGUCGAGAGACAUUAAGGCUACUCAUAGUGAAAGUAUCGUAUAGUAGUAUCAUGCAUAUGAUACCAUGAUAUCAUGCAUAUGAUACUAUGGUAUGAUACUAUCUUCAUAGUGCAUAGUAUCAUAAACUAGUAUCAUAGAUGGUCUUAUUUAUUGACAUGCAUGAGACAUGCUAGCAUAACAUUUAACAUGAUACAGUACGUAUGUUACUCUAACCCUCUCUCUCUCUCAUUUAUUUAUGUGCCACUUCAACAUGUUUGAUAGUCCCAAGAUUAUGAUACUAGCUAUGAUACCCCC